ensembl:lncRNA
UUAUUAGGAAUUGGUGGGGUUUCUCUGGUGUGGUGUCAUGGGGUCUGCUUCUGUUUUCAGCACAGGUAGGCGGGGUGGUGUGUCACGGGAUGCUGACACACCGGCGGUAUAUCAGACGUCAUUUGAUGGAGCGUUAUUUAGGAGCAGCGCGACAGACGUCUGGUGUCGGAGUAUUGCCACCUCCCCGAGUGCUGGAUCUAUCACCCGCUUACCUGUCAGCUGUUUGUGAAGCCGCAUUUCCGGGAUCUCUACGGAGAUAGAUCUCAGCAUUUCUUCUACUUCCCGGGAAUCCUCGCCCGAGUCUGUACAGCCAGUGUGACAAAUCCACCCUGCGUGUGCGGGUUACCCCUUUCCCUCAGAAUGCGUGUCAGCUCCCUUCUCUGGUUUCCCUCCGUUUAUUUGUCGGUGUACAUAUUCCAUCCCGUGUAAAUAAGUUGGACACUGUAAAUAAAAAGCACUUCCUGCAUUUUCUGCGUUUCUGUGUGUUCUGCCAUAGAGUCCGUUUACUUAGCAUAACAGCCGUGUGGAAAUCAUCGGUUGCCCAGACUCGUUUUGCUGGUGGACGAGUUUCUGAACUCUGAUAAUACAGUUAAUCAAAAUUAGAAAACCUACUAACAGAUUUGAAAUACAGUGUAACACUGGAUACUUUAAAGAAAACAUGAAACAGUAGCGGUUACUAAACGUACUAAGCAAUAAAAAAUAAAAAAAUUCCAGCUGUUUGCAUAACUACUAAGAAAUUUGAAAGUGAGUGUAACUUUAAAC